GUGUUGAAUGUGAAAUGUCAUGAGAACAUGCAGACCACCUCGCCGCCCACGUACGCUGCUCCGCGCUCUCAGAUGGGGACUUAAACAUCGCUUCAGGCAGCCACUUCCACACAAGCUGCCGCUUGGCCGCUUCAUUUUCCUGGCUUGGGCAAAAAAAAAAAAAAAAAAAUCUAUAAAUCUCUGCAAAGAAAAGGGCCGUUACAAGACAAGUAGAAUCUCGGAACUGGCAGCUCAGCAAAAGAUGCAAGUCAUUGGACUCCUGCCUCAACCCCCGAUUAAGAAGAUGCUGGAAGGAGCCGGAAGGUGGUGAUUGGCUUGAGGUUUAUGUGCGAACCACAUAACCAACUGCAGUUACCCUAUUCACACACAAGAUCUCAAACUUGGCCCAUUGUACAGGUAUGGGAUCCACCAUUUCUAACAGAGAUUUGCAUGAAAUGUUGCAUGUAAGAAGCUUAUCCUAUGUCACCUGUCCUCAAAGCUGUUGAAGUCUCUCCAUUCAGGCCCUAAAAUAAACAUUAAACAGUGACCCUCAUUUAACGGCAGCUUAUUUUGGCUGUUAGUGAACGUAUACAGUCACUGAUCCUAACAUUCAGGUACCAACAGAACCAUCAACAACGUAAGACCUCCACACCAUCAAUAGAGAGAUGGAUCACGGUUCAUCAUGUAAAAACACAGAUCCAGAAUCUUCUAGAAUGGACCUUCAUCUCCUGCACCAUACGGUGACCUCAUGUAUCUCAAAGACAGGCUGUGAACGUGCCAGGUGUGUCUAAGGCAUACAAACCCACUGAGGGAAAACAUGUAUGACCUCAGGGGCUCAGUGUCUCUACAUGUUUAACGACUGCUCCGCCCCAGACACAAAGCCCAGCGAUUCCACAAUCUCUCGGAGAAAUAAUUACAGAGCAGAGCCAGAUCUUGGAGGAACACCUUCCGAGGCUCAUAUGCUAAAUGUCCAUCUUGUACAGCUGUAUUAGCUCAUCGUAAAUCAUAGCGCAUAAAACCGUCAUGUUUACCUCCUCGUUUUUUACUGCGUGCGUCCACCGUGUUCCCCUGCCAUACGCCCUGUACUCCCUGCAAAAAAACCAGCACUGGUAAAGCAGCUGGAAAUGAGUGGAUGAGUAGAUUAUGCAACAUUCCAAUUCCAUGAUACAUAAGUGUCAUGAGAGUGUCUGCUUUAAGGUGAGUAAGACAUGUUCGUCUACAUAGCACGUUUAUAGAUCGAUGACAUGUGGAUGUUCCUGCGUGUUUGUGAUCGCAGUACUAAUCACUCCUUAGUCACCAGUCCCCCCCCCCAAUACCACUCCCCCCAUCUCCCUCUGCUGCAUCACCUUCCACUUUAAGAUCAGGCCGUGGCAAGGUCCUCCCUGGUUUCCCUGGGCAUCUCCAUGGCGAUAUAUGGCAUUUCUGAAGAUGCUUCUCGACUUGGGAAGUUAAUCAGGAAGAGUGAAGGCGAACCAGACGUAUGCAUGACAGAGGCAACACUGACUGGCGCCAACAGCAAACGUGGGACACAGCAGCGUGAGGAGUCGAUCAGCUUCACAGGCAUCAAGAGGAACACAAGAAGAGAUGACCCCUCAGACAGACCCUGCACCCAAAUAAAUGCCCCACAUCCAGAGAUAAAAAAUUUAAUCAAUCGGCAAUUUACUUUUUAAACACAUUCACUUAUGUGUGAUAAAACCAGAUUUGUUAUAAUAACAAUGACAACAGGCACAGCACUAUAACGUUAAGCACAAAGUAAAAUAAUUGCUUAACAUUAUUUUAUUUCAUGACGGAAAUGAGAUAACGUUACACAAUAUAUAAUAAAUAAGCAUGGGAUUUAUACCAAAAUAAUUCGUCCACAAUAAUUUUCCCUCUACAGUUAUUUUACCCAGUCAGAAAUAAAGAAAUUAAACCUCCAGACUUUUAGUCACUUUCAUUUCUUUCUGUGUUGCCCACGACAUUUUAAAAACCGGGGGGGCGGCUGUUCCAAGAAGCAGGAGUACUGAGUUAACUGAACUGGGUUAACUUAAGCUAGUCCAAUAGGAAUGCUCCUUAGCUAAACUCUCAUCGGACGAUCAAGAUUGUCCAAUAGGAAUGUU